GACGAACGCUGGCGGCGUGCUUAACACAUGCAAGUCGAACGGAAAGGCCCUGCUUUUGUGGGGUGCUCGAGUGGCGAACGGGUGAGUAACACGUGAGUAACCUGCCCUUGACUUUGGGAUAACUUCAGGAAACUGGGGCUAAUACCGGAUAGGAGCUCCUGCUGCAUGGUGGGGGUUGGAAAGUUUCGGCGGUUGGGGAUGGACUCGCGGCUUAUCAGCUUGUUGGUGGGGUAGUGGCUUACCAAGGCUUUGACGGGUAGCCGGCCUGAGAGGGUGACCGGCCACAUUGGGACUGAGAUACGGCCCAGACUCCUACGUGAGGCAGCAGUUGGGAAUAUUGCACAAUGGGCUGAAGCCUGAUGCAGCAACGCCGCGUGCGGGAUGACGGCCUUCGGGUUGUAAACCGCUUUCACCUGUGACGAAGCGUGAGUGACGGUAAUGGGUAAAGAAGCACCGGCUAACUACGUG
rnacentral:rRNA from 1 species